rnacentral:rRNA from 1 species
CGGGACGACCGUCCAGCCGUUUCGGGGCCGGCGUACAGGUGCUGCAUGGCUGUCGUCAGCUCGUGCUGUGAAGUGUUGGGUUAAGUCCCGUAACGAGCGCAACCCUUGUCCUUAGUUACCAGCACGUUAUGGUGGGCACUCUAAGGAGACUGCCGGUGACAAACCGGAGGAAGGUGGGGAUGACGUCAAGUCAUCAUGGCCCUUACGGCCUGGGCUACACACGUGCUACAAUGGUCGGUACAAAGGGUUGCCAAGCCGCGAGGUGGAGCUAAUCCCAUAAAACCGAUCGUAGUCCGGAUCGCAGUCUGCAACUCGACUGCGUGAAGUCGGAAUCGCUAGUAAUCGCGCAUCAGCCAUGGCGCGGUGAAUACGUUCCCGGGCCUU